UACAGAGGUCUCAAGCGUUGUUCGGACUCAUUGGGCGUAAAGGGUGCGUAGGUGGCGCUGUAAGUCGGGUGUGAAAUCUCGGAGCUUAACUCCGAAACUGCAUUCGAUACUGCCGUGCUUGAGGACUGGAGAGGAGACUGGAAUUUACGGUGUAGCGGUGAAAUGCGUAGAUAUCGUAAGGAAGACCAGUGGCGAAGGCGGGUCUCUGGACAGUUCCUGACGCUGAGGCACGAAGGUCAGGGGAGCAAACGGG
rnacentral:rRNA from 1 species